UUCCCAGAGUCGAAGACGCGAGUAUAGCUUCUGCCCUGAGUCUGCCCUCUCCAUCAUUAUUGAAUUUUAUUAUUAUGUAUCAGCACGACUUUAAUUAAAUCUUCUUGUGAAAUCAGGAAAGUGGUGCGCGAAUCCUGCUUUACGAAACAAACUUGAAAUGAAAAUGAGCUCCUCGUGAAAAUUCAAUACAAACGGAUCGCAAUAUGAGCAUACCUGGAGAAGAAGAGAGCAGAAGGCGGAGAGAAGCGAGAUCCAAAUCUGGGGGAUCCGGCGAUCUGAGAGGCAGAAUAAUAAUGACAAGUGGAAGGAAGGAACUGGCGAUUAUAUGGAGAUUUGGUUUAGGGGAGUUUUUUUCAUACUCGGAAGCUUUCUCUUAUUGGGACGCUUGCUUGAAUGCGGAAUUCCCAACGACAAUACAUACAAAAGCAAGGAACCACAGAAGAAGAGCAAGAGAGGAAUAUUGAUUGGGGAGGAGAGUGUUACUGAGCGAGCGAGCGAGCGAGCGAGAACAACGGCUGCGUCUUUUAGAAAGAGUCCUUUUUAUUCCACUCUUUCCUCGGUGGCAAAA
rnacentral:lncRNA from 1 species